AAAGAUUGAAAAAAAAAUUUAGAGGGAAAUCCAUUAUAUUGGCGCCCAAUAUUGUUCACACAAGAACACUUUUUGUUGUUGUUGAUCUGUUCUGUCUCACACACCAGACACAAAGAAUAGUCAAUACCAAACCUCACUCCCCCUCACCACCGACGCUCUCCACCAUCGCUGGCCACUAGCGCUCGCCACCGUAACCACUGUAAAUCAGCACCGCCACUGAAUCACAGCAAUGUCCUUAGGUUCUACACUGACAAUGCCCUAUGCCUGAAGAUCAGCCCCACCGUCGUCCUCGAUAUCAGCCUCUGCUUCAUCAGCUGCUCUCCACAUCUUUGGCAAGCUCUACCGCUACUGAUUUGGUGCCCCCAGAGCUUGAUUGAUUUCUCUUACCUUGAUUGUCCGAGUUUAGAUCCCUCGGUAAUUGGGUGAACAAGGUCAACUCGCGUACGAGGACUUACAUUAGGCAAAGGAGUGGAGAAAAAAAUAGCUAGGAAAAAAGGAGAGAAAUUGCAUGUUUAAAUCACAAAGAGCUACUGAGGGAGAAAGAGGAGCACCAAAGAGAUCGUAAGGAACUUAUAAGGGAAAAAGAGGAGAUGAUGAAACAAGUCGAAGAAAAAAAAAAGCACGGGAGACACAACAAGUACAACUCAAUCAUCUGAAUGAUGUGGUGUCACGGCUCAUAACCCUCUUGCAGGGUUCAGAUGGUCAUCCUACUAUUGGGUAAGAAGAAUUUUAUUGAUAUGGUACUAAAAGUUCUACAAAAAAUGGAUCAUAUUGACUAUUGUGUACGAUGAACCUAGAGUUGUUUUUUAAAGCUCCUAUUCAAACCUAUUAGAACGUUCAUUAUGGGUUUUGUUCUUUUUUUUUUUUUUCCCCUCUUCUUCUUCUAUGCUUCGAAUAGGUUUUGAGGCAUAAUAUAAAUAGACUUAGCAGCAAAGGACCUGGUGUUUCAAUACAUUAGGCAAAUGACUUCAUACUGAUUUCCAUAAGGUAACAACAUAGAUACUUGUUGAGAGUUUUUUUUUUUUUUUUUUUCACGUGAACAAGUUAAUACAUAGAUAUGCAAGGGUCAUUUGAGAUUUUAGAUUGAGUUAAAUCAACCAAGUGAACUUGGAAUGAAUUUUUAGCAACAUGAUUUACUGGCUGAAUUAUGAGAUGCAUUAUGAGAUGCCUGAACCACUCUAUGGAUGUCACGAGUAGUUUCCUCGUGACAAAUAGGAUCUGUGGGGACAGAUGAGAUGUAAUUAGCACACAUAGGUUGGGAGUUGGAGUGAAAAAUGCCAUAAACUUAGUUGAAAAAGGCCGUUCGGGGUCGAAAAUGCAAAGCAGCCCCCGAACCACUCUAUGGAUGUCAUAGGUAGUUUCCUCAUGACAAAUAGGACCUGUGGGGACAGACAGAAUGUAAUUAUCACACGUAAGUUGAAAGUUAGAGUGAACAACGCCGUAAACUUAGUUGAAAAAUGUCGUUUGGGGCCGAAAAUGCAAAACAGCCCCCGAACAAGCUCAACAAUGAGAAUUAUCAUAUAGAUGGGUCCAUUUGUAAGAUUCUAUGUGGUUUGGGUUGACUAAUCAAUGGCCUAAUUUAUUGAAUUUUCAUAGCUUAUAUGCAAUAGGCAAAACCAUUUCAAUGAUCUCUCAGUAUAGUGAAACAUUUACUCAACAACAUGACAUUUUUGCUAAAUAUGACAACCAAACAGGGUUGUAAAGAACCAAACUGAAGAGUAGGCCCAAUUUAACCUUAAUGUUGACCUUCAAUCAUCUUCUAGUUCCACAAAUAAGCAUUGCCAAGUUGUUUUAUAAAGAAAUUUUAUGUCAUUACUGUUGAAUAUGUUGUACAACCUUACAUUGAUUGUCAUUUUUUAAAGGCGAUAUGUUUUCUCAUUACUGCUGAAUAUGCUGCACAACCUUACAUUAAUUGUCAUUUUUUAAAGGCUACAUUUUUCCUCAUUACUGUUGAAUAUAUAUGCUGCACAGCCUUAUAUUGAUUGUCAUUUUUUAGAUGCCAAUGAAAUUUUACUCUUGUGCACUUUGCAUUGUUUAGGUUUCUAACAUUUCAAUAAUGUUAAUUUUAUUUUCAAAAUAUUAUGAUUGAGGGAUGAAACUACACCUCAGCCAAAAAAUAAAAAUAAAAAAAUGAAAAAAAAUCCCUUUACAGAUCUAAUAACUUUUUUUUUGCAUGGUCUUAUGUUCAAAUGCUAUAUGGAACUAAUGGGUGUAGUUUUUGUUUUGUAUAUGUCUUUUGGCAUAGACAUGUGGAUCUUUCAUUUUUGUGUACAGAGGAUAAUUUACACUUUUGAACAGUCCUAUUUUUUUGUCGUCCUCUACUUUUUGUAUGGAAUUUGGAUGAAUCGUACAUAUAACUUUUGGCGAGGUACAGAAAACUUUUGACAUGAAACUUGUAUUUAUUGCCGUGGUAUAUAGAUUACUUUUUGUCAUGGUAAUCUAUACCAUGCCAAAUGGUCAUUUCGCAUAGUAGUAAAUAUAUUUUUGUGUAUGGAAGACAUUG